GAUGAAGAACGUAGCGAAAUGCGAUAAGUAGUGUGAAUUGCAGAAUUCAGUGAAUCAUCGAAUCUUUGAACGCACAUUGCGCCCCUUGGUAUUCCAUGGGGCAUGCCUGUUCGAGCGUCAUUUGUACCUUCAAGCUCUGCUUGGUGUUGGGUGUUUGUCUCGCCUCUGCGUGUAGACUCGCCUUAAAACAAUUGGCAGCCGGCGUAUUGAUUUCGGAGCGCAGUACAUCUCGCGCUUUGCACUCAUAACGACGACGUCCAAAAGUACAUCUUUACACUCUUGACCUCGGAUCAGGUAGGGAUACCCGCUGAACUUAAGCAUAUCAAUAAGCGGAGGA
rnacentral:misc_RNA from 1 species